CCCCGGGGGAGGAAGGGAAACACUGUGGUUGACAGCCCUACACAGAGAUCUCGGGGAGGAUGACAAGAGCUUUCUCAAUGGAAAGAGGGAGAAUGAACACCGGGCAAACAAAAACAGAUGGCCACCACAAACCAUCAAGAGCUUUGAAAGAGACGGUGUUAUCUCGGAGCUGCCUCUCUGGUCCUCUGGUCCUGCAGUUGUUGAAUUGUGAUCCCCAGAGAGAGAUGUUGAAGUCCUAACCCUGGUAUUUGUGAGGGUGAUCUUAUUUGGAAACACUGUGGAGUCUUUGUAGAUGCAAUCAAUUGAACAUGAAUUUAUUAAGGCGGGACCUAAUCCAUUAUGACUGGUGUUCUGAUAAGAGAUGUAAAGACAGAGACACACAGGAAGAAUGCCAUGUGAUGACGAAAACAAAGAUUGGAAUGAUACAGCUACAAGCCAAGGAACGCCAAGGACCCAUGGCCACCACUGGAAGCCAGGAAGAGGCAAGGAAGGAUUCUACCCAGAGUCUCAAGGGGAGCAUGGCCCUGCUGAUUUUGGACUCCAAACCCCCAGAACCAUAGAAGAAUAAAUUUCCAUUGUUUUAAGCUGCUCAGUUUGUGGUACUUUGUGAUGGCAGCCCUCGGAAAUGCAUACACGUCCACCUCCUGUUUCUUCUCCUUUCCUCCACCAGCCUCAGACUGUAACUCUCACCAAUACUACAAGACAGCACUUCCCAAAUUUUAAUACACAUACAAAUCAUUUGAGGAUCUCGAUAAACUGUUGAUUCGGAUUCAGUAGUUCUGGAUGAGGCCUGAGAGUCUGCAUUUCUUAGAAGUUCCCGAGUGAUGUCCACGCUGCUGGCCCAAAGACCACACUUGGAGAAGCAAGGCUAUAUAUAAGAGAGUCAGCAAGGAAAUGUUGCUGUCAGGUGUGUGUCACAUCUAUGCUUUUUGCCACAAUGCUAACAGAGAUGAAGUGGAAAGACUUACGUGGUGAGAUGAAAAAAAUUAGUAAACGAAUAAAAUAUCUAAGGGAAAAAAAUAAGGAAAAUUUCAAAAUAGACUCCCAGGUUAUUCUCUAGAACAAUACAUGCCAACAACCCUGGAGUCAAUGAAGUUUCUAUUGUGUUUGGGAAUAGUGGCCGUUUGUAAAGGUGCAGAGACUAACUUUCUGAGCUUUUCAAACUGCCUGUUCUUGGGCUUCACCGUCGGCAACAGAGUUUCUUUAGGCCUGGGGUCUGGUCCAGGAAUUAGUGUUUUAAGGCUCUGGGUAAUUCUGAUGCAAAGUCAGGUUUGGGAAACACGGGUAUGAAAUAAGAAAAUUUAC
rnacentral:lncRNA from 1 species